ACUUAAAGCAAUAUUAUUUGUCAGAUAAUUCAAUUAAAUGAGUUGCGCCUGGUUAGUACUUGGAUGAGAGACCACCUGGGAAUACCAGGAGCUGUACACU
ensembl:rRNA 5S_rRNA 5S ribosomal RNA